AGCCCCGUAGUGAGUUACACAUCAGAUUGCAAAUUUGAAAACGCUUCCUUUAUUGGUGCCGGGGCUU
rnacentral:tRNA from 1 species